CAGUCGAACGGAGUUAUCAUUUCAGAAGCAAUUAGCUUGCUGAGAGUGGAAGAGAGGAUAACUUAGUGGCGGACGGGUGAGUAACGCGUGGGGAACCUGCCCUGCACCGGGGGAUAACACCUGGAAACAGGUGCUAAUACCGCAUAAGCGCACGAGGCCGCAUGGCCAGGUGUGAAAAACUAAGGUGGUGCAGGAUGGACCCGCGUCUGAUUAGCUUGUUGGUAGGGUAACGGCCUACCAAGGCGACGAUCAGUAGCCGGCCUGAGAGGGUGAACGGCCACAUUGGGACUGAGACACGGCCCAAACUCCUACGGGAGGCAGCAGUGGGGAAUAUUGGACAAUGGGGGAAACCCUGAUCCAGCGACGCCGCGUGAGUGAAGAAGUAUUUCGGUAUGUAAAGCUCUAUCAGCAGGGAAGAAAAUGACGGUACCUGACUAAGAAGCCCCGGCUAACUACGUGCCAGCAGCCGCGGUAAUACGUAGGGGGCAAGCGUUAUCCGGAUUUACUGGGUGUAAAGGGAGCGUAGACGGCAUAGCAAGUCUGAUGUGAAAGAUCGGGGCUCAACCCCGGGCCUGCAUUGGAAACUGUUAAGCUGGAGUACAGGAGAGGUAAGCGGAAUUCCUAGUGUAGCGGUGAAAUGCGUAGAUAUUAGGAGGAACACCAGUGGCGAAGGCGGCUUACUGGACUGUAACUGACGCUGAGGCGCGAAAGCGUGGGGAGCAAACAGGAUUAGAUACCCUGGUAGUCCACGCCGUAAACGAUGGAUACUAGGUGUGGGAGGUAUUGACCCCUUC
rnacentral:rRNA from 1 species